AGAGGAGGAGGUGAUAGAAGACAGCGAUGAUGGUGAUCAUGGUGAUGAGGAGGAGGAGGAGGUGAUAGAAGACAGUGAUGAUGGUGAUCAUGGUGAUGAGGAGGAGGUGAUAGAAGACAGCGAUGAUGGUGAUGAUGGUGAUGAGGAGGAGGAGGUGAUAGAAGACAGUGAUGAUGGUGAUGAUGGUGAUGAUGAGGAGGAGGAGGUGAUAGAAGACAGUGAUGAUGGUGAUGAUGGUGAUGAUGAGGAGGAGGAGGUGAUAGAAGACAGUGAUGAUGGUGAUCAUGGUGAUGAGGAGGUGAUAGAAGACAGUGAUGAUGGUGAUGAUGGUGAUGAGGAGGAGGACGAGGUGAUAGAAGACAGUGAUGAUGGUGAUGAUGGUGAUGAUGAGGAGGAGGAGGUGAUAGAAGACAGUGAUGAUGGUGAUGAUGAGGAGGAGGAGGUGAUAGAAGACAGCGAUGAUGGUGAUGAUGGUGAUGAGGAGGAGGACGAGGUGAUAGAAGACAGUGAUGAUGGUGAUGAUGGUGAUGAUGAGGAGGAGGAGGUGAUAGAAGACAGUGAUGAUGGUGAUGAUGAGGAGGAGGAGGUGAUAGAAGACAGUGAUGAUGGUGGUCAUUGUGAUGAGGAGGUGAUAGAAGACAGUGAUGAUGGUGGUCAUGGUGAUGAGGAGGAGGUGAUAGAAGACAGUGAUGAUGGUGAUCAUGGUGAUGAGGAGGAGGUGAUAGAAGACAGUGAUGAUGGUGGUCAUGGUGAUGAGGAGGAGGUGAUAGAAGACAGUGAUGAUGGUGAUGAUGGUGAUGAUGAGGAGGAGGAGGUGAUAGAAGACAGUGAUGAUGGUGAUCAUGGUGAUGAUGAGGAGGAGGAGGUGAUAGAAGACAGUGAUGAUGGUGAUCAUGGUGAUGAGGAGGAGGAGGAGGUGAUAGAAGACAGUGAUGAUGGUGAUCAUGGUGAUGAGGAGGUGAUAGAAGACAGUGAUGAUG
rnacentral:lncRNA from 1 species